AUCUUGCGCAAUGGGCGAAAGCCUGACGCAGCGACGCCGCGUGCGGGAUGACGGCCUUCGGGUUGUAAACCGCUUUCAGCAGGGACGAGGCCGCAAGGUGACGGUACCUGCAGAAGAAGCCCCGGCUAACUACGUGCCAGCAGCCGCGGUAAUACGUAGGGGGCGAGCGUUAUCCGGAUUCAUUGGGCGUAAAGCGCGCGUAGGCGGCCAGUUAGGUCGGGAGUCAAAUUUCGGGGCUCAACCCCGUCUCGCUCCCGAUACCGGCUGGCUUGAGUGUGGUAGGGGAAGGCGGAAUUCCCGGUGUAGCGGUGGAAUGCGCAGAUAUCGGGAAGAACACCGGUGGCGAAGGCGGCCUUCUGGGCCAUCACUGACGCUGAGGCGCGAAAGCUAGGGGAGCAAACAGG
rnacentral:rRNA from 1 species